GGCGGCGUGGAUGGAAGCCUGAGUCAGCCCCAAAAAUGUCUUGGCGGGGGGGGGGGGGGGGGGGGGGCACACAGGGAGUAUGGCGAAGCCAGGUAGGAGACCUGCGCCAACUUCCUGUGCUUACUGGGGGGCUAGAGAGACCGGGCAGGCACCGUGUUAUGCUGUGGAGCGCACGGUGUCUCCAGUGCGGGUGUAUAGCCCGGUGCGGUACAUACCAGCUCCUCAUAUCGGCCGGGCUAGAGUGGGCAUCUGGUCUCCAGUGCGUCUCCUUGGGCCGGCUUACAUGGCACCAGCCUUGCGCACGGUGGCCCCGGUUCGCUUGCAUAGCCCAGUGCCGGCUAUUCCACCUCACCGCACUGGCAGGGCGACCGGGAGCAUUCAACCAGGUAAGGUUGGGCAGGCUCGGUGCUCAAGAGCUCCAGUGCGCCUGCACGGUCCGGUCUAUCCAGUACCACCUCCACGCACCAGCCCUCCGGUGGCAGCUCCCCACACCAGGCUUCCUGUGCAUGUCCUCGGCCCAGUACCACCAGUGCCAGCACCAUGCACCAGGCCUACAGUGCGCUUCGCCUCUCCAGCGCUACCGGAGCCUCCCGCCUGUCCAGCGCUGCCGGAGCCUCCCGCCUGUCCAGCGCUGCCGGAGCCUCCCGCCUGUCCAGCGCUGCCGGAGCCUCCCGCCUGUCCAGCGCUGCCGGAGCCUCCCGCCUGUCCAGCGCUGCCGGAGCCUCCCGCCUGUCCAGCGCCGCCAGUCUGCCAGGAUCCGUCAGAGCCGCCAGUCUGCCAGGAUCCGUCAGAGCCGCCAGUCUGCCAGGAUCCGUCAGAGCCGCCAGUCUGCCAGGAUCCGUCAGAGCCGCCAGUCUGCCAGGAUCCGUCAGAGCCGCCAGUCUGCCAGGACCCGCCAUUCAGCCAGGACCCGCCAUUCAGCCAGGACCCGCCAUUCAGCCAGGACCCGCCAUUCAGCCAGGACCCGCCAUUCAGCCAGGACCCGCCAUUCAGCCAGGAUCCGCCAGUCAGCCAGGAUCUGCCAGAACCACCAGUCAGCCAGGAUCUGCCAGAGACAUCAACCUGCCUGAGCUACCCCUCAGUCCCGAGCUACCCCUCAGUCCCGAGCUACCC
rnacentral:lncRNA from 1 species